CUCCAGACUCCUACGGGAGGCAGCAGUGGGGAAUAUUGCACAAUGGGGGAAACCCUGAUGCAGCGACGCCGCGUGGGCGAGGAAGUACCUCGGCAUGUAAAGCCCUAUCAGCAGGGAAGAAACAGGACAGUACCUGACUAAGAAGCCCCGGCUAACUACGUGCCAGCAGCCGCGGUAAUACGUAGGGGGCAAGCGUUAUCCGGAUUCACUGGGCGUAAAGGGAGCGCAGGCGGCACGGCAAGCCUGAUGUGAAAGCCCGCGGCCCAACCGCGGGACUGCAUUGGGAACUGGCGCGCUGGAGUGCCGGAGGGGUAGGCGGAAUUCCUAGUGUAGCGGUGAAAUGCGUAGAUAUUAGGAGGAACACCAGUGGCGAAGGCGGCCUACUGGACGGUGACUGACGCUGAGGCUCGAAAGCGUGGGGAGCAAACAGGAUUAGAUACCCGAGUA
rnacentral:rRNA from 1 species